UACGUAGGGUGCGAGCGUUAAUCGGAAUUACUGGGCGUAAAGCGUGCGUAGGCGGUUCCUCAAGUCCGUUGUGAAAGCCCCGGGCUCAACCUGGGAAUGGCAGUGGAAACUAACGGGCUCGAGUGUGGCAGAGGGGGGUGGAAUUCCACGUGUAGCAGUGAAAUGCGUAGAGAUGUGGAGGAACACCGAUGGCGAAGGCAGCCCCCUGGGCUAACACUGACGCUCAGGCACGAAAGCGUGGGGAGCAAACAGG
rnacentral:rRNA from 1 species